CCGGGCAACAGGGCAGAACGCAUCUGUCAUGUAGGCGUCACAUAUUUAACCACUUCCUCUUAGAUAGGGUGAAAAAUUGUGCCAGAAAACAUAGCUCUCAAACUAAGGGCCCACAUACUCUGAACAGACUCUAUACGCAUGCAGUAAGUGCCAAAAUAUCCACAGCCUCCUCAAGACAUUCCACAUCCACGUUCUGGUGACUCAUUCAGACUGCAUACAGCGAUGACAAAGCAUCUUAUUCUAUUGCUUGCCAUCUUGGACAUCGCCAUUAAAACAUUAAACACUGAAGAGGAGCUGAAGGAGACUGGGUUUGGAUAUCCACCUCCUCGACACGGACUCGCCCUAAUUAAGUGAAAAAGCCACUUAACGCCGUUUUCCUCAAAUGUAAAAAUCACAAGCUGUGGACCCUCAGGUGGAAUCCAGACACAGAGAAAGCCCUCAACUAGGUACAUCUUAUUCAUCAUACAUAAAUGAUGUACCUUAAAGGUGUGUAAUUUUUGUACCAAAUAACAUAAUUGCAAUAUAUAUAUAAAUAUAUAUAUGAACUACACACUUCACCCUUUUACCACAAUAUUACUUGGAUAUACCAUUAGAUUUUUUAAUGGAUGUCAACGUGUGUCCUGUAUUUUAUACACACUUGAAAACAACUAAUUUAGAUUAGCUGAAUAAAGCCUCAAGUGUCAUUUUGUUUUUACUGAGC
ensembl:lncRNA